CAGUCGCCGCGGUAAUACGUAGGGUGCGAGCGUUAAUCGGAAUUACUGGGCGUAAAGCGUGCGCAGGCGGUUUUGUAAGACAGGCGUGAAAUCCCCGGGCUCAACCUGGGAAUGGCGCUUGUGACUGCAAAGCUAGAGUGCGGCAGAGGGGGAUGGAAUUCCGCGUGUAGCAGUGAAAUGCGUAGAUAUGCGGAGGAACACCGAUGGCGAAGGCAAUCCCCUGGGCCUGCACUGACGCUCAUGCACGAAAGCGUGGGGAGCAAACAGGAUUAGAUACCCGUGUAGUCCCUGUCUCUUAUAC
rnacentral:rRNA from 1 species